UUGCAGCAUUCGCCCAUCACGGUGGCGGAGGUCCCGGCUGCGAACACCCCCCUCCUCCCAUGCCUCCGCCAUCGAACGACACCAGUAUUUCUGGAGGAGGCGGAAAUUCUUCUGAUGCCAUCACCGGAAUGUCCAGUGAAGAUACGAGUUCUUCCGAGAAUUCCACUGGGAGUGACACAAUGGAAAGUACACCAACCAUGACGUAACUGACAUCCGGAACCAAGACCAGUACGGCGUCAGCUUGACGUGGAGAUGCACUCUGAAAUAAAAAAUCCCCCACAAGCA
rnacentral:lncRNA from 1 species